rnacentral:rRNA from 1 species
UACGGAGGAUGCGAGCGUUAUCCGGAUUUAUUGGGUUUAAAGGGUGCGUAGGCGGAUUUUUAAGUCAGCGGUAAAAUGUCCGGGCUCAACCCGGGCCGGCCGUUGAAACUGGGGAUCUUGAGUGGGCGAGAAGUAUGCGGAAUGCGUGGUGUAGCGGUGAAAUGCAUAGAUAUCACGCAGAACUCCGAUUGCGAAGGCAGCAUACCGGCGCCCGACUGACGCUGAGGCACGAAAGCGUGUGGAUCGAACAGG